UACGAAGGGGGCUAGCGUUGCUCGGAAUCACUGGGCGUAAAGGGCGCGUAGGCGGACUCUUAAGUCGGGGGUGAAAGCCCAGGGCUCAACCCUGGAAUUGCCUUCGAUACUGAGAGUCUUGAGUUCGGAAGAGGUUGGUGGAACUGCGAGUGUAGAGGUGAAAUUCGUAGAUAUUCGCAAGAACACCAGUGGCGAAGGCGGCUCACUGGCCCGAUACUGACGCUGAGGCACGAAAGCGUGGGGAGCAAACAGG
rnacentral:rRNA from 1 species